UACGGGGGGAGCAAGCGUUGUUCGGAUUUACUGGGCGUAAAGGGCGCGUAGGCGGCGUGACAAGUCACUUGUGAAAUCUCCGGGCUUAACCCGGAAAGGUCAGCCGAUACUGCGGGGCUAGAGUGCAGAAGGGGCAACUGGAAUUCUCGGUGUAGCGGUGAAGUGCGUAGAUAUCGAGAGGAACACCUGCGGCGAAGGCGGGUUGCUGGGCUGACACUGACGCUGAGGCGCGAAAGCGUGGGGAGCAAACGGG
rnacentral:rRNA from 1 species